rnacentral:lncRNA from 1 species
GCGCAAUAUAAUGAACCAUAAAUGCCGUUAAGGCUGUCAUCCGCUCAGCUUGCCAAUAGCUUUAUAUCUAUAAGAAAGAGACUGCAAUGAGACGCCUUCUGCAUUUUACAUAUACUAAGCCUUAAGGUCCAAACCAGAUGUAAUUUCUUACAGCAUAGCUCGCCAUUAUCAUGCAUAUUAAGGUAUAUGGACGCAUAAAAACACUUUUGUUGUUAGCUAGCGACGAAGUGCUAAAAACAGUAACGGUGAGAUCAAAAAUUGGUUGCUUUGCCAAAUUUACCGUCCGUUUUCAACCGGGUUCUUCAGGCGCCGCAGCGAAUGUGAUGUCAAUGAAACUUUCGAAAGAAAGACUGUUUCAAAAAUUGUCAUGAAUGGGAUUUGAGCUCAUGCCACCUUAAACGAGACAAAUGUCAUUUCUUCGCCUGCACUUCCUACCAAUUGUUUCUAUGUUCAUAUUUAUUAUUUAUGUCGGGACGGCGCGAACGCCAUUCCCGGCUACCAAAAAUUACACGCACGAGUUAUUCACAUUAGGAAUAAUCGCAGAGGUCAACUCAGCCGAAGUGCAAUGGCCAAGCCUCACUCCGGAGGAACCGCCUUCGUGAUCACGGUUCACCUCUACGCCAGGUAAGUAUGCUUUUCUGCGCUCGGCAUUAAACUUUCGUUGCUCGCACGACUAGAACCAGUUGGGAAUUCUAUGUCAUUGAAAGUUGUAUGAAGUCUGAAACUGACAAACAACCCCCAGAGGUAUAAGACGCAACGAAUGUUGAUGUCAGCUGUUUUGGACACGAGUUCAAACCCCA